rnacentral:rRNA from 1 species
GUGCCAGCCGCCGCGGUAAUACAGAGGUCCCGAGCGUUGUUCGGAUUCAUUGGGCGUAAAGGGUGCGUAGGCGGCGGGGCAAGUCUGAUGUGAAAUCCCGGGGCUCAACCCCGGAACUGCAUUGGAUACUGCCUUGCUUGAGUACUGGAGAGGGAACUGGAAUUUACGGUGUAGCAGUGAAAUGCGUAGAGAUCGUAAGGAAGGCCAGUGGCGAAGGCGAGUUCCUGGACAGUUACUGACGCUGAGGCACGAAGGCCAGGGGAGCAAACGGGAUUAGAAACCCCAGUAGUCC